UACAGAGGGGGCAAGCGUUAUUCGGAAUUAUUGGGCGUAAAGGGCGCGUAGGCGGCCUUGCAAGUGGAAGGUGAAAUCCCUCGGCUUAACCGAGGAACUGCCUUCCAGACUGCUAGGCUUGAGACCGGGAGAGGUGAGUGGAAUUCCCAGUGUAGCGGUGAAAUGCGUAGAUAUUGGGAGGAACACCAGUGGCGAAGGCGGCUCACUGGACCGGUACUGACGCUGAUGCGCGAAAGCGUGGGGAGCAAACAGGG
rnacentral:rRNA from 1 species